GCCAAUGGAGAAGCAUGAUGUUUAGACUUUGCUGUGUAACAUGCUUUUCUUUCCCCUGCACAGGGGAAGUUGGUGGCAAGGAAAUGAUCCUAAAAUGUGUGCAUCAUGGAGGGGAGGGGAGACAGGAAGAGUGAAAUCUUGGUGCUUAUACUGACUGUGCGGUGGCAAGCAAGGAGCCGUCAAACCAUGAAAAUACAUGGAGGAAACAAAUGCAUAUUAUAAGUGAAAAAAGCCACUCUGUGUGAUUUCCAACGAACUGGCAUCUGGAAAAGGCACAACUAUGGAGACAGAAGAUCAGUGGUUGCCAAGGGUUAAGGGCUGGGAGGAGACUAGAUGGGGCUCAGAGGAUUUUUAAAGCAGUGAAACUACUCUUCAGACACUGGACUGCUGGACGUUCACAGACACCAACUGAAGCUCGCAGGAAUUCUCCCUUCUGUGAGAACAGCACUGACUUUCAGGGAUGGGACCCCAGCAGUCUUGUUUUUGUGACAGGGCCUUGUUCCUUGAAUAACGGGCAGAUCCAGGGAAAAAGAAUCCCAAGAUGGACGAGCAAGACCCAAUUUGCUAUCCACAACUGAUCACCUGAGGGCUGCGACUUGGUCCUGCAUAUUCCUCUGGAUUAAAAACAGCUCCUAAAACGAAGACUCAGCCAACCCCAUUUUGCCAUUCUGGAGACAGAAAUAGAAAGAGAGGGAGUUCCUGGAAUUACUUGUCAUUCAUUCACCCUUUCCACCACCAUCUCCAUUGCCAAGUCCUGACGGGUAUGUAGACCCUCAGCUAAACCCAUGGGAAACUCCUCCCUGGGUUAGGUUCAGGGAAGAGUGUUUGCAAAUGCUUCCUGACUCAGGGCCCACUGGGACAGUUCCUAUAAAGGCUUUGUCUUUUCCUCCAUAAAGAAUUGAUGUGGAUUUCCUCUCCUUAUUUCCUCUUCUCUUAAGCAUGAUUCUGAACUUCCUCUUGGAAUCUGAAUCUCAACAGGAUUUUAUUUUAUGUCAAUGGGAAAGCUUAUGUAUAAUUCAACUUCAUUUCAAUUUAAGAAGUGGCAAGGAGAUCCCUCUGUGUGCCUGGAGUUGAGUGAUCUUGGGACUGAAGGACUGUGCCUCACCACAUUUCAACUACCAAGCGGCUUGCUGACAGCCCUUGCAAAAUAAAAGUUAAUCAGUCAUUCAAGUGUAAGGAAGCUUCUCUGCUUUCAGGAAAUUUAUAAUCUGGUAAAAGGGAUAAAAACAUAUAAACAUAAAAAUAAUAGAAAGUUGUGUAGUCCAACAGGAAGUGUUUUAGGCUGGAAGUCAAGAGCCCAUAUCAGAGUGGUAGUUCUGCCAUACACAGACGUUGACCCAAAAUGACCUCUCUGAACCGCAGCUUCCUCAUCUGUAACAUGAGGGAGUUGGGCUAGAUAAUAUCAGAAGGAGUCCUUCGCCUACAAACAAUGUUCAAAAUCUCUUGUUUCCAUCUUCACCAACUGCUCCCACUCAAACUACCACCAUCUAAAUCCCCUUCCACUGGGAAAUCUUCAGCCUCCCUACUUCAUGUCUCUCCAUCCUAGAAUUCAUUAUCUCACCAGGGUAAUCUUUGGAAAACACAAAUCUAUCUUGUCACAGGCCUCUCCUUCACUGCCUAAAAAUCCUCCAACAGCUCCUAACUGCUAUUAGACAUGGAAGGCAUAGCAGCUCUUCCUUGCUCCCCAUAACUGAUCCUUCCUCCCCGUUUCCUCUCUGACCUUGCUUUCUUGUGCUAUCCCCCUCACUCCACCAUGCUGUUACUGCCUUCUUUUCCAAUCCAUGUCCAAACUAAUCGUAUGCUCUUCUAUCCAGAAAAUUCCCUUUCCAGUAAGACCCAUAUCUUCUGGGCUUUUUGCCCUAGUCAUACUUUCUUCUCUCUCUAUUCCUCAAAGUAGGACCAGGAGACCAAUGAGAUGCAACAGAAAUUAUGAAUGGAUUCUAGUCUAGUCCAGAAAUUAAGUGGAGGAUAAUCUUAUGGUUUGGGAGAAUUAUGAAGGCAGGAGCAUAAAAGAACAGGCUUGGGCCAUGUUCCAUGGUAAAGAAAUAUCUAGUACAUGGUUUAUUAAACCCUGUCCUUCCUUUCUUUUUUCUAGGACACAUAGCUUCUUUUGUCAUGAAGAAGAAGAUAGAACUCAUUAUGGCUAAGCUGGUUGCUAGGCUCCGUGUUUGGUCUGAACUGGAUAGUAACAUAUUUGGUAUUGUGGCUGCUGGUGGUCUUUUGAGCACCAUAUUUUACUCUCCAAACCCUUCUGUGCUCUAUGCUAGGAUGCUAUCCCCAAGCAGAGCUUCUUUGGGUUCUUAAAUGUUCCCAGGGAUUUCUAAAUGCAGAAAUUUCUAGAUUUAAAUUUGUGGAGCAGCCCAAGAAACAAACUAAAUUUAUUUGAAGAUUCUUCUCUUUAAUCCUUUUCAUUUAUCAAGGUUUGCAUUCCACUUCACUGGAAAUUAGUAUUUGUUGUAAUAUUAAAAUGACAUUUUAAAGUACUAUCUGCACUUUAGAGAAUGGGAUUUCAAGUCAGAAAGGUAGAAUUUGACUUACUGUUCAGCUAAUCACUAGUUGCAUGACCUGGCCACGUGUCUUUUCUUCUCUGAGCUUUCACAUGUGUCCAUCAUACGACUGCAUGGUAAUUAUUCCAUGGAGUGUAGCACCCCGAGGGCCACAGUCUCUACCUUUUACUCAUCUGCAUAUCCUUCAUAUAGACUAGUAGAGGGUCCUAUCCCCAGAAGUCUCUUUCUAUGAUUCAUCCCUCUACAUCAGACACAAGUGCACCUAUGGUUAUCCCAUUUUUACCACUAGAUGGAGAGCACGUAUCCUAAAAAAAAUUAAUUCAUUAGGAAGUAAGAGAGCAAAUGUUUGACUAUAGCAUCUUAACCAAAACAACUUAUUUAUUCAUGAUGAUAUUAUUAAAACUGUCUCUCAAUACAUACAAUUAUAAGGUAACUCCCAGAACUAUUUAUUCUAAAAAUAAUAAAAGGGCAAAGGCAAGGGAGAAAUACUAACUUCAGGAUAGUGAUUAUCUCCAGGGAUGGCAAAGUGGAAUUGGGUGAGAGUAGAGAGCUCUAAAUGUAUUUGAUAGCUCAUUCCUUAUUUAAAGAUAUAGGAAGCAAAAAAUGUUAACUCUGGACGAAUUCUGAGUGGUGGUGGUGGUAUUUGCUGUUUCUGUGAAGUUUUUCAAAAUUACAAUUUUUUUUUAAGUCAGGGAGAAGAUUCAAAGGUAAACUAUAUGUCUACUCACUUUAUCUCUAUGUCUACUGAGUUUUUAAAUGCUCUCCUUGAGAGAUGUGCAAUCUACAACAUAAAACAAGUUAGCAGAAAACCUGGUGACUCUGUACUGGUCUCUCACAUGGCCAUUCUUAACCAAACCGUAAGUCUUCUAAAUGUCACAACUUAAAGUUCUUGGCUAGUUAGUUUUUAUCUCUGAAUUGGAUUCUUUUAAACUAAUCUGAAAGAAGAAAAAAAGCUGUAUAUGUCUGUGCUGUUUCUAUUGCUAUGUAAUGAACUACCAUGACAUUUAGUGCUAUAAAAGAGCAAUUUUGUCAUGUUCAUAGAUUUUGUGGGACAAGAUUUUACACACCUUCCUGUGGGGACACCUUGUCUCUGCUCCAUGACAUCUGGAGCCUGAAGUUGGAAGACUCAAGCUGGAGGGUCACUUGAUACUAGGAGGAAGUUGAUGGCGGGGGCAAUACUUACUAGCAGGUAUCUUCACUGAUGUGUCUGGUGGUUGAUACUGGCUGGGGCUGUCUACUGAGCCACAUACUGGUUACAAUCAAGUGAACACGAUUGGUCCCAGCUCUCCAUGGGGUGAUUGUCAAAGACUGUAUUGUCUUUGUCUAUAUUGUGAUGCUCUUAACUCUGCUAUUACAACAAAGUGGAUUGAUAAAGCUGGACCUCACUUCCUCUUUGUCCACUCAAAUGACCCAUAUGGAGGAGCAUUUCAAUGUAUCUUUUAAAUUAUCUAGGAACAUGUCUGGCCAAGUUCAAGAAGCUUAAGUAUAAACCAAUAUGGUUAUUUUUUUUUAUCAGCCUUGUACCUUGGGAAAGCUGUUUAGUUAUUUUUUUAUGACCAUUAAACAUGCAAGUAUUCAUAAAUAACACAUAUAAUAAGAUUCUCAUCACCAAUGGAAUAUUCUCCAGAGGGGAAUAUUGUCUAUUGCUGCAUAAUAAAUUACUGACAACUUAGUGGUUUAAAACAACAAAUGUAUUAUCUCACCGCUUUUGUGAGCCAGGAACCUGUGAACAGCUUAGCCCAGCAGCUCUGCCUCAAAGCUUCUCAUGGGUGGCAAUCAAGAUGUGGGUCAGACUGUCAUCUGAAGGCCUGAUCAGGGUGAAGUAUCUGCUUCUGUAUGACUCACUUAUAUUUCCUCACACGAGGCCCUCUUCACAGGACUGCUUGUGCAUCCUCAUGCCAUGACACUGGCUUCUUCCAUAGUGAGCAAUCAAAGAGAAUGAAGAGGAAGCCCCUGGUACUUUUACAUUCUAGGCUUUGACUGAUUUUCCAUCUGGCCUAACCAGAGCCUGAGGUUACUGAAUCCAGUGGAGCCAAUAGGUUCGACUUGAGCUUGCUUAAAGCCUGCUUAGAACAGGGAAAGACAAAUUGGCUCCUUUCUGAAAGGCCUAUGGAGCAGAAGCCUGCUUCUCCCUCCCCAGACCACAGCCUUGAAAGGGAAAACAUCCUGUUCUUCCAACUCCUGAGAAGCCAUUGCAGUGGAGCAAGAGGCUCGGUGGCCGUCUCCCACUCAAGAAGCUCACUGACUGGCAGCCUUAAGGGCCAGGACCUUAUCAGGCAGAGCUGAUUCCCAUCCCAGGUCCUGGGGUGCCAGGCAGGGUUAGAUAAGGCUGGACUUAUCAACUCAGCUCCAACAGCCCCAGAGAAAACAAAAGAGCAGCACAAAGUUUCCACACUUGGGAAGAAGUCAAGGUUAGCAAAGCACUAGACCCAGGUAUCUGGCAGAGGUGACAAAGGGACCUUACAACUGAAAGUAACAAGACCAGGUGGGGUCAGGGACACUCUUGGAGUGCUGGUAACCAGAGGCAGGAUAGGCUCAGGAGAGGCAGCCCUUGCCCAGAUGCCCUAUAGACUAUCCCACACAGCUGCCACCUAGAGGAGAAGGGAGACAAGAGAGCAAAACCAGAAUUAGCUGAAUUUUAAGAUGAAAAGACUGAGAAAACACAGAGGAUUUCUAGAAAGAAUCAGGGUUGCAUGGUAGCAAGUGGAUUAUGUAGCAUUAGGAAAAAAUAAUGUUAUAUAUUUCUUGCACACACUAGUUUGUGGCUUAGGAAAAUUCAAACAUGCUUAUAAACGUGCCAAUGCCUUGCCCUGUCUGCCAUGCCAUGCAGAGAGAAGGGGCUGUUUGGGGUGAGUGUGUCUCUCAGAAAUUUAAAGAGACGGCUAGAAUCGCAAGGCAGAAAGUGAUCGUACCUGAAAGUCUUCUAGAACACAGCUCAGAAAAUAUUAUUUUUUUAAAGGGCCAGAGAAUAAACAUUUUAGGCUUUUCCAACUGUAUAGUCUCUGCACCUCUUCAGCUCUGCCAUGGCAGCACAAAACAGCCAUGUACAAUACAUAAAUGAGUGGGCCGCGCUAGGUUCCAAUAAACUUUAAUUAUGGAAACUGAA